rnacentral:rRNA from 1 species
AACGAACGCUUGCGGCAGGCUUAACACAUGCAAGUCGAACGCCCCGCAAGGGGAGUGGCAGACGGGUGAGUAACGCGUGGGAAUCUACCGUACCCUACGGAAUAACGCAUGGAAACGUGUGCUAAUACCGUAUACGCCCUACGGGGGAAAGAUGUAUCGUGGUAUGAGGAGCCCGCGUUGGAUUAGCUAGUGGGUGGGGUAAAGGCCUACCAAGGCGACGAUCCAUAGCUGGUCUGAGAGGAUGAUCAGCCACAUUGGGACUGAGACACGGCCCAAACUCCUACGGGAGGCAGCAGUGGGGAAUAUUGGACAAUGGGCGAAAGCCUGAUACAGCCAUGCCGCGUGAGUGAUGAAGGUCUUAGGAUUGUAAAGCUCUUUCACCGGAGAAGAUAAUGACGGUAUCCGGAGAAGAAGCCCCGGCUAACUUCGUGCCAGCCGCCGCUGUAAGAC